CCGCGCGUUAAGGACACGUGCAAAGAGCUGGUGACGUCUUGGCAUCGUAAGCGCGAGAAGAAAGAACAUUCUAUUCCAGCGAACGUAAGUAGACCCCAGAACUCACACUCGCUCAGGGAAGCGCGUGGAGGGUGGAGUAACAGAGAGAGAGAGCCGUGAUGUGACGGUGUUAAUAACACGUGGAUCCCACGUGAUGGGUCCGUGCCAUCUCUGAGGACGUACAGUUUUUUUUUUCUUUUUUUUUGGGUUAUGAAUGAAUGAGAGAGCCCACGUGACCCGCCACCACUUCCUCUAUUCCUGUGCUUUCGUACUCAACUUUUGUCGCUUCUUUUUUUGGACUCACCGUUUUUUUUAAUAAUUACUCGAUUCCUCUUCGAAAC